rnacentral:snoRNA from 1 species
CUUGUACACUAUUAAAGCUCAGGGUGGAGGCGAGCCUGUCGGAAGCAUGCUACAUUGAUGGCAGGAUUUUCACUAACACCAGGAGAGCAUGCCUCUGAGACUGGAACUUGGUACUGAUCGCUGCUACAUAA